rnacentral:sRNA from 1 species
AAGCAUGCAUCCAUCCAUCCAUUCCUCCAUCAAUCUAUUCAUCCGUCUAUUCAUUCUUCCAUCUAUCCAUCUAUAUAUUCAUCUAUCUUUUCAUCUACCCAUCUAUCUAUUAUUUUAUCCACCCCUCUAUUCCUUUAUCCCUCCAUCCAACCAUCCUUAUAUCCACUCAUCUAUUUGCCCGUACAUCCAUUCACCCAACCAUCCAUCCAUCUGCCCAUUCAUCCAUUCAUGCACAUAUCCUUGCAUUCAUUCAUCUAUCUCUUCUUUCAUCCAUUCAUACAUCCAUCCAUCCACCCAUCCACCCAUCUAUCCAUCCAUCCAUUCACCUAUGUAUCCAUUCAUCCAUCCACCCAUAUAUCCAUCUAUCUAUUCAGCCAUCCAGCCAGCCAUCUAUCCAUCCAUCUAUCCAUCCAUCCAUAUAUCCAUCUGUCCAUCCACCCACCCAUCUAUCCAUCCAUCCAUCCAUCCAUCCAUUCAUCUACCCAUCUAUCCAUCUAUCCAUCCACCCAUAUAUCCGUGCAUCCAUCCAUCCAUCAUUUAUCCAUUCACCCAUUCACCCAUCCAUCCAUCCAUCAUUUAUCCAUUCACCCAUCCAUCCAUCCAUUCUCCCAUCCAUCCGAUAUGUCUUUAUCAAUAAUUUACAGCACAUAUUUUCUAAGUAUUACUCAUCAGUCUGUGCUGGGGGUUGGAGCUACAUUUGUGAACAUGACAGACCCAGUCGCUGCUGUCAUGCAGCUAAUAUCAAGCAGAAAAUUCAGACAUGAAUAAAGCCCAAGUGGUUAUUUUAUGAUAAUAGUGACAAGCCUUCCUGACAUCACAUGCUGGAUACUAUGAGGACACCUUAGUCCAGGUUGUGAGGAAAGGCUUCCUAAGGAGGGGACAUGAAAGCUCAGCCUAAAGAAUAAGAAAUAGUGGGCAGCAGAAUGGCAUAUGUGAAGCUCUUGAGGUCGGAAGCAAUUUGGCCAUCCCCAAAGCUGGAGUGUGUGGUGCGCUGUGGAGGUGGUGGGAGGUAAGACCAGAAACAUAGACAGAGCUGGUGACACCAGCUGUGGGGCCUGGGGAGGGAGAGGAGGCACUGCAGGUGGGGACUGAGUGACCUCAGCUGGGGGAGGGAGGAGAGGGCCAGGUCACCAGGCUUCAUUUGGCAGUUGCUGGUGAGACACGGGUGGCAUUAGAGCAGGAAUAGAUACAUCUACCCCAACAGAGCUGUGUUCUUUUCACAGAAGGUGACUCAAAGAAUGUGGCAGAACCUGGAAGGGGACAACAGAGGCACUUUCAGUAAAGCAACGGCAAGCAGGUGAGUGGGCAGAGAGCAAGAGUCAUGGCCAGGGUAAAUGUGGGCAGCCAGUGUCCUGGCAGCUUUCACCACCAGGUUGAGGAGCAGGAGGGUGAGAGUAGCACUUUCCCUACUGGUAGAAUUUGAAAUUCCCUUCUGCAGUAAGUCCUCACCUAACGUCAUCAAUAGGUUCUUGGAAACUGACUUUAAAUGCAACGACGUACUAUAUGCACUGUAUGCCAUAGAAGCUUAACUCAUUUGUUUGUUUUUUUAAGAGACGGGGUCUCACUCUGUCACCCAGGCUGGAGUGCACUGGCACAAUCAUUGUUCACUGCAGCCUCAGACUCCUAGGCUCAAGCCAUCCUCCUGCCUCAGCCUUAGUCUCAGUAGCUGGGACUACAGACAUACACCACCUCACCUGGCUAAUUUUUUUGUAUUUUUUGUAGAGAUGAGUUCUCACUAUGUUACUCAGGCUGGUCUUGAACUCCUGGCCUCAAGCAGUCCUCCCACUUUGGCCUCCCAAAGUGCUGGGAUUGCAGGCAUGAGUCACUGUGCCUGGCCUCAACUCUUGUUUAUAUCCAUUAGCCUAUGGUAAAAUUGUUUUUGUUAUAUAGUAGGUCAUUUUGCUUAAAGUUGCAGUUUCCAAUAAGCUACCCAUGAUGUUAAAUGAGGACCUACUGCAAUUUCAAGGCAGGAACAUAGGAGAACUUUGUGUGUGAUCAGAAGCGGAAGCAAUUCUGUAUCCCUCUGAAUCAAAAAUCCAAGACCAGAAUAGGUCGCAACUUUCCUUUCCAUUCCUUUGCCUUGAUGUCUCCAGGAAGUCUUGUCUAUCUCUUCUCAUUUCUGUCAAACAAUUCUGUUGGGUGCCAACUAUCUGAUAGUCAUGGUUCCAGCCUCUUGGUUGCUCAGCGGUAGUUCAUGCCAGGGUGGUAUGGUGAACAAAUCCCACAGAGCCCCUGCUCUCAGGGAGGCCACAUCCUGGUAGGGGAUGGCUACACAAGCCAACAUAUCAAUCAAUACAAAGACAGGUGUGGUGAAGAAGUGAACAGGCAAUGUGUGGCAGAGUCCCUGGGCAGGAGCAGAGCCUGGGGCAGGGGCUGCUUCGUUUGGGGUCAGGGAAGGCCCUGUGGGGGUUGAAGUCUGAGCCAAGAUCCGAGGUGAGAAGGUGCUGCUUGGGGAGGGUCUGGAGGAUAGGCGCCCAGGUGGAGGGAGUUGGAAGAGUCAAAGUACUGAUGCAGGAGGGACGCUGGCUUUGGGGAGCCAAAAGAAGGCCCCUGGGGUAGAUGCAGGAAGGUGGCAGGGAGGCUGACUCCAGAGGAGGCCGCAGGUGAGGCACAGGCUUGCCCUCAGGUGCCCUCAAAGGUGAGGCGUAGGUGCAUGCAAAGGGCUGUGGAGUUGCACCCCUAAACCUGAAAAUCUACCCAGCCCCUGUGAAUGCUGGAUAGCCACAGAGGGCAAAAAGGAGCCCCUAAAAGCAGGCGACAGCCUCCCAGGACGUCGCUGAAACGCAAAUGUCAGACUGCAGAUUCCAGAGUCCUCCCGGAAAAUCUGGAGCCCGUAGGGACUGAUGCCAGCAUGUCUAUUACCUGCUGAUGACAGGAGCCGUCCCUGGAGUAGGUCAGAUGCAGCUGAGGACUGAGCUUCCAACAGGGAAGGAGGAGGCCAGUGGAUGAGGAUGAGACCUUGAGAGGCAGUUUAGGAUGGCAGUUUGGAAGUUGAGGCUUUUGGGUGGGCGCAGCAGCUCCCGCCUGUAAUCUCAACAUUUUGGGAGACCGAAGCAGGCAUAUGGUAUAAUCCCAGGAGUUCAAGCCCAGCCUGGCCUGGCCAACAUGGUGAAACCCUAUCUCUACAAAAAAAAUACAAAACUACCCAGGCAUGGUGGUGUGCACCUGUGGUCCCAGUUACUUGGGAGGCUGUGGUGGGAGGAUCACCUGAGCCUAGGGAGGUUAAGGCUGCAGUGAGCCAUGUUUGCACCAUUGCACUCCAGCCUGGGUGACAGAGUGAGACCCUGUUUCAAGAAAAAAAAAAAGUACAGCCUUUGGAGCAAGCUAGGUCUGGGUUUAAAUUCUUGUUCCACCACUGUGGAUUUAGUAAAUAAUUUCAGCUCUCCAAGCCUCAGCUUCCUCAUCUAUAAAAUGGGACUGAUGGUAAGGGAGGAGUUAGGAACUAAAUAAGAUGAUGCCAUGAAGACGUCACAGUGAGUUCAGAAUUGGGUCUUCUCAGAAAGGGGCAUCUUCCUGCUGUUUCUGUUGGUGGCGGUGGUGGCAGGGAGAUGAAAGAUCUGUGACUCUGUGGUCUGCCCUGCGGCGGUUCACCCUGACCCUUCUUUGUCUCUGGUCUGCCCUGCAGCGGUUCACCCUGAUCCUUCUUUGCUUCCUUUCCAGCUAGGUUGCAAGAACAUUCCUCUACUUUCUGCUAAGCCUUGGAAACAGUUGGGAAAAGUAGUUUGACCCUCAAAGUUCACAUUCAGCUCAGCAGAGCAAGACCCCAGAGAUGCUUAGAGACAGGACACCUGGCCAUCAAUCCCUGUUUGGCCCAGCCUGGUUGGGUGACUUUGUGGGAGCCACUUAACAGCUCUGGGUCCCUGUUUUACCAUCCUGGGAGCAAGGCCCUGCAGCUCCACCAGACCUUUGCCCCGGGAAGAAGCCGCCGCCCAUGCAAGCAUUUCUGAAGCCCCUUUCUAAGACAAGGCUCAGCAUCUUGAUAUUUUUGACAGAUUUCUCCCAAGUCUGGCUCUGGGAGGUAUGUACCCAUCUCAAAUGUUCCCAAGAUAAAUUCAUCCAUCAGGAAAUGGAAAUGAACUUGCUUACUAAUGUGUGAUUGCUAGUUCUAGCCACCGGAUGUGCUGAGGCCUAAAUGUUAGCAGGUAGGGAGGAGGCCACAGAACAAUAAAAACAACCAAAU